UUUCGAGACUGUGCUAAGAGAGGCAGUAUGAACAAUUGCAUCUCAGUACAGUGCACGGUAGGAAGGAAGAACUGAUCCUUCAGCUCUGUGUUCCACAGAGCCUCAGAGUCAAAAGGGAACUCAUGCAGGAGGCAAGAGGAACGGAGGUGAAGCAUGAGCUGAGGUGCUGUUGAAUUGUGCUGUGUGAAGUUGGUAGGAAUCCACACAGAACUGGUUACCACAGCUGUGGUGUGGUUGAAAUUAGUAACGAAUGUCUCAAGACAAGCGAAGACACCUUAUGAAUGUCCCUUAUAGUUGGAUUGCGUGUGUGAGCACAGUGAGUGGAUGGACUAGCAGGAGUAUAUGAUACCAUGUCAGCCCUGAUUCUAAGUCAUCUACUCCAUUCCAGCUUUGACCAGAGGACCCUCCACUGAAGGUAAUAUAGCACUUAUUCAGCUAUGUUCAGUAAUAUUUCAAUUACUAUUUGGUCCUCAUGCAGAAUCUUAUGGGUGAAAUGAUCAUUGGUUCACAUGAUUUGGAAAUAGCUGGGUCACUGACCAUAAUAGGACUGAAAGCUCACUCUCAAACUGUAUUACAAAUAUGUAAUAGCAUCUACUAUGUUUCCAGGAAUGAUGCUGGAUGCCAAUGAUUUAAUAAAAACCAGAGUUCUUCUUCUUAAUGAAAUUAGAAAGUAAGAAAGACAUGAAAAUAGAUAAUCAAAAUUUGGAAUUUGGUUGUUCUAUUAUAAGGGAGUAUGAAGAUUUGCAGAAACACAGAAAACAAUUCAGUUUUCCUGGAAGAAUCAAAGAUGGUAUCAAAGAGGCAACAUUUGAACUGAGUCAUAAAGGAUGAGUUCUAAUAACAGCUUUAUUGUAGAACACUCUAGAAAACAUAAAGUAUUUCCAGAUCCAUCCUCUUAGCAUGUAAGCAACUUAAAAGCAAAGACUGGUUUAUCCUAGUCAUGACUAUAUUUCCAAAGUAUCUCUGUAAUACUGAACCCAUUAUCAAUCUUGAUUCUCGUAGCCUCCUAUGCACUGGGGAGAUGGCAGAAGGGAAACAUUCCAGACAGAGAAAAUGAAUGAACAAAGACAGAAAAUUCAUAACUCAUGAUCUCAUGGAAUUUUGACCUGUAGAUAUUCCAAGAAGAAUCUCAGUAAACUCUGCCAGUGGCUAUACUGGAAACACUAAGGAAAAAGACAACCGUCUGUCCUAUAUAACAUCUCACAGUGUCGCAUUUAGUACCUUAGUGAAUUCAUCAGGGCUCACAAUCUGGUCCACAUCUUUGUAGAUUAAUUUUUUAAAAUGUUUAUAGAAAUCCAAUCACUCAGGGCUGUAAUUAUCCUAGCCUGUGAGACUUGUAGAAUGAUAACUGAUUAAUUUGUAAUGAGAAAUUACCAUUACAAAAACUAUAGUAUUAACUUUUCAUGACCAGGCCAUUCUACCUUUACCAAUUUAGUAAAUUACAGUUACAAAUAAUUGUCAUGGUGACCAGAACAUUCAUAUCUUCAUCAUAAGACUGUUUUCUCCCUGUGUGAGAGCAGAAAUCGUAACAAGCAGACAGUUUAGUAAGCAUAGAAUCAGAUGUAAAAGAGUUAAAGAGUUGAAUGCUUAAUAAAUGUCAAUUAAGAUAGUCUGAUGGCUUUUCCUUUCCAUUGGGACAGUUGUACCCAUGAUAUUGGAAUAUACAACAUACUUUACCACCCUACCAAUGGCCCCAUAUGAGGAGUUAGAGUAAUCUAAGACUAUUAACUAAGGCACUAUCUCCUGGACAGUACUUCUUCCUCGUUUCCAAUGUUCAUUCAAACAAAUUGCAAUCACAUUUUGCAAAACUGGAGGUCAUUAUAUUCCUUCAUGAUGACUGUGGCAACACUGUUUGAGAACCUACUAUGGGCUAAACAUCUGCAUUAUCUCAUUUAACCACAAUCAUGUGCAAUAUUAUUUGUGCAGAAGAGUAAAUCGUUCUUAGAUCCAUUAAAUGACUUGCUCCAAUAGAAACAGCAUUAGAUGGUAAAGUGAGGAUUCUAUCUAAGCCAUUUGAAGUCCACUCAAGACUUCCACUAGACAUUCAUGUCCAAAGCCAUUCACUUGCAUAGAAAAGAUAUGCAUACCUGACCAGAUCACUAAAAAACAUUAGGAAGCUAUGAUUGAAUGGGUCAAAUAGUACAUACUGCAGGAGUUCAGAGAAGAGUGACAUCAUUGUGGGACAAGGUGGGAAAUAGAUAAUAUUUAUUUGUGAAACAUUUUCUUUCUUCUAGUGGUAGAACUUAAAAGGAAAAUAAAUGUAAGACAUAUCAGCCACCCUUCCCUCUUCCAACAACCAUAGCAGAACUCUUUUUGCCUUAAGCCCAGAUAUAUCACCUCAGAAUCUUUCGAAAGACAGCAAUCCACAACCAUUAACAGUCAGUCACAUUUAGCAUACAACAUAGAAUCUAUAUGCACCAUUUCUGAGUUGGAGGCUGAAUCUACAAAGCACUAAAGGGGCUCAAUGAUUUUGUCUCUCUGGUAGAAAAAUAAUGAUAAAUUAAAUGAAGUCAGGUAAAGCUUUUGUUUGAUAAAAUUUAUGAGAACCCAAUUUAAGCAUUAACCUUUGUGUGUGUGUGUGUUUGUGUGUGUGUGUGUGUGCCUAUCUAUAUAUACUAUCCAGAAAUAGACAAGUAAUUGCAAAAUCAU
rnacentral:lncRNA from 1 species